AGCUCCAAUAGCGUAUAUUAAAGUUGUUGCAGUUAAAAAGCUCGUAGUUGAAUUUGUGAUGUGUCCAGUCGGCCUUUGCUCUUUGAGUGAUUGUGCUGUUAUUGGUCCGUCAUGUUUGGGUGGAAUCUGUGUGGCAUUAGGUUGUCGUGCAGGGGAUGCCCAUCGUUUACUGUGAAAAAAUUAGAGUGUUCAAAGCAGGCUUAUGCCGUUGAAUAUAUUAGCAUGGAAUAAUGAUAUAGGACCUUGGUACUAUUUUGUUGGUUUGCGCACUAAGGUAAUGAUGAAUAGGGACAGUUGGGGGUAUUUGUAUUCCAUUGUCAGAGGUGAAAUUCUUGGAUUUUUGGAAGACAAACUACUGCGAAAGCAUUUACCAAGGAUGUUUUCA
rnacentral:rRNA from 1 species